GGUCGUAUUUCUGAGUCAGAAAAGUAUGUGAGAACAUAUUUAGAUAUCUUGGACUCAAGCCAAAAUUAAAUAUGUUAAAACGCAGUGCCGGGAGUGUUGUGAAAUCAAAAACCGAGUGGUAGUCUUUGAAAGAAGUCGCCUCUUAAUUUGGUCGCAUUAAAAUUAAGAAAAAUGCUUACAUACUUAAGAAAUCCAAUAACACAAGGGUAUGAAUGGUCCUUUUGGCCGGACGCUCGAUUCUUCUACCACUACAAAAUCUAUCGACCCCUCAGCUUCAAUGUGGACUGGCCGCUGACUGCUAGGGAAAGAUUUCCACAAUAUUGGCCAUCAAGUAGAUCCUAUUGGCACUACUUGAAUGAUUUCCCCUCCGAAAAGGCUUUUAGGGAAAUUAGGCUGUACAAUGAUCUCUAUUUCGACCGAUAAAAUAAGAAAAAUACGAAGCUGUUCCAGCUGCAAUACUGUACCAAAUAAAUUAAUAAAAGAACAUAAUACCGAACAUUUAUUUAUAUUCACUUGAAUAUUAAAGUUUUUGCUUUAAUAAUGUGUUCCUCUUGGUACAGUAUAGGAAACGUGAUAUUUGUACAUAAACCUGCUACGUAUAUACUUUUUAGGAGAGACAUAGGUUCGUAAACUAGGUUAAAUAUAUUUUGUUAUGUUAUAAAAAUGUUGAAUAUAUAAAUAUAUAUUUUUGUUA